rnacentral:rRNA from 1 species
GAUGAACGCUGGCGGCGUGCCUAAUACAUGCAAGUCGAGCGAACAGAUGAGGAGCUUGCUCCUCUGACGUUAGCGGCGGACGGGUGAGUAACACGUGGAUAACCUACCUAUAAGACUGGGAUAACUUCGGGAAACCGGAGCUAAUACCGGAUAAUAUAUUGAACCGCAUGGUUCAAUAGUGAAAGACGGUUUUGCUGUCACUUAUAGAUGGAUCCGCGCCGCAUUAGCUAGUUGGUAAGGUAACGGCUUACCAAGGCAACGAUGCGUAGCCGACCUGGGAGGGUGAUCGGCCACACGGGAACUGAGACACGGUCCAGACUCCUACGGGAGGCAGCAGGAGGGAAUCUUCCGCAAUGGGCGAAAGCCUGACGGAGCAACGCCGCGGGAGUGAGGAAGGUCUUCGGAUCGUAAAACUCUGUUAUUAGGGAAGAACAAAUGUGUAAGUAACUAUGCACGUCUUGACGGUACCUAAUCAGAAAGCCACGGCUAACUACGU